GUUGAAUUAAUGUUAAUUACAUUUUCAGGGAAAUCCUUGCACUUGGCUUUGAUGAAAAAUUCAUACGGACAUGGGAAUAUUACUUUGACUAUUGUGCUGCUGGUUUUAAAACGUGUACACUUGGAAAUUAUCAGGUUGUAUUCACACGUCCUGGCAAUGUUGCUGCAUUUGGAAAUCCAUAUCAAAGUUUGCCUUGGGGAUUUUAGUGGCAGGAGUUCACCCUCUUCCUGGCGGAGCAAAGAUUGAAGUACUCAUGCUAUAUAUGGCUCAUUGAUUUUUACUUGAUAUAUUAUAACUUUCUACGUAUAAAAUGAUGAACUAUGGCUUCUUCUGAAGUUUGUAAUAAAAUGAUGAAUAAUAUGACUCCACAAAUAAUCCAACUUGUUUUC